GGAAGAGCUGUUCCUACCCAAGCUACAGAACCACCCAGUUCUUCAAUUGGAUAAAAGGCCAAGCAGCCCCAGAAGACCUCAUCGGAGCUUAAAGAAACCAUCACAGCCCAGGAGCUCAGGAAAAUUGGACAGAGUGGUUGGACCAGGAGCAGAGAGAAUCUUAUCAUGAGUAGAACUGACCCCAAUUCACAUACCCAAGCUUUGUAUCCAUGAUCUGUGUCCACCCUGGAGAGGAGAAGGCUAAAGGUCACUGUGGGGUGAAGGAAAACCACUAGAACCAAAAGUGGAGUAACUGGACUGGAAGAUCGGGGAGAUGCCACAGUUAGAAUUCAGCUGAAUUUGGAUCACAGCUCUUUGGUCAUCACAGUAGGGAUUUAUGUAUAGAGAGAAAGUGGUGGUGUGUGGAGUCUGUUGGGGGCUAUAUUCCAUCAACAUCAGUCCACUCUUCUCCAUGUGCUUGAUGAGAAUCAGCAGUCUACUGGAAACCAACCCAUUAAAUCAGCUUUAAUCCUCAUCAACCAAUGACACUUGCAUUUUAACAAGUUUCAUUUGCAAGUAUUAGAGGAGCCUUACUUCCUGGGAAUUUGUGACAUCUAUCAGCAUGUCUUGAUCCUUCAAGGGAAGACCCUCAUAGCAAUUCCUGAUGAUGGAGUGGUGCACCCAACCAUACUGGUGAGCACACCAUGCCAAGAUCAGUCUCUUGAAAAAGACAAGGCAAUCCUAUUUACCUGGGCAUAGCAGACCCUAAACUGUGUCUGUGCUGUGAAGAGAGUGGAGGGCAGCCCAUACUGAAGCUCAAGGAGAGGGACAUAAUGGAAUUAUAUCAUAACCAAGAAGCAGAGAAGCCUUUCGUAUUUUUCCAAAGACUAGAUGUCAACAUUUCUAACUUUCAAUCAGCUGCUUAUCCUGGCUGGUUCAUCUCUAGUUCAAUGGAGAUAGGGAAACCCAUCAAAAUGACCAAGGAUGUGGGAAAAGAUCAUAUAGCCUUCUAUUUCAAUUAAUUGAGCCUGGUCUGGGCCAAGUAGCCUCAGUUCAACAAAAGGCUGUCCUGUUUACAUGGUACACCACAUGUUCCAAAACACUUUCAUAUAUAUUAUCAUUUAUUAUAUAUAUAUAAUUAUUAUAUAUUAUAUAUAUUAUCAUAUAUAUAUAUAUUAUUCUUAUGCCUGUGUUGAGAGACAUGAAAUAUAAGUAGGCUGUGUUCCUGCCUUCUAGGGGCUUAGAUUUAAUACCACUGAGUUAAAUAAACAUAUAUGUCAACCGUAUAUGUCAUUGAGAUAGAAGUCCUGGGUGACUGAGGCUUUUAGUAUCUCAACUUCUGAACUCCCCAUCCAGCCAUUUUCCUUCCCAUUCCCCAAGGGAGCAGCCACCUAUUUGAGCAGUUUCUAAUGAUGGGGGGAAGGCUGACAACAGACACGGGUGACUUGACCAGGUGGAACUUGGGAAUUUUUAUCUUCUGGAAUUGCUCUGAGGAGGAUGCUUUCCAGACCAGAACUGUCCCAGGUGCUGAAGUUUUGCUGCUGUUUCUCAAACCUAAAGCAUUAGCACAAAGGUUCAUGGGGAAUUUUCUAAAAAAAAAUAUUAAAGAUGCUGUCCCCAGUGGUCUAUGAAUAUGAACUGAGUGAGUUUGUCAUAAUGUUAGGAUUAUUACAAGAAGAUGGGUGGGCAUAUAUUCCAGCAUGA